CAGCCGCCACGGUAAUACGAAGGGUGCAAGCGUUAAUCGGAAUUACUGGGCGUAAAGCGUGCGUAGGCGGUUUGUUAAGUCUGUUGUGAAAUCCCCGGGCUCAACCUGGGAAUGGCAAUGGAUACUGGCAAGCUAGAGUGUGUUAGAGGAUGGUGGAAUUCCCGGUGUAGCGGUGAAAUGCGUAGAGAUCGGGAGGAACAUCAGUGGCGAAGGCGACUAUCUGGGCCAACACUGACACUGAGGCACGAAAGCGUGGGGAGCAAACAGGAUUAGAUACCCCGGUAGUCCCUGUCUCUUAUAC
rnacentral:rRNA from 1 species